rfam:Bombyx mori DNA, contig: Bm_scaf37_contig22064, strain: p50T/Dazao, build 2, whole genome shotgun sequence.
UAAACAUAAAUUUGUAUAGAGUUGAAACAGCUUCCCUUCGUGUAUCACUAGGGGCGUUCGUUCAACUCGAUACAAAUUUGAGUUA